AGUGAACGCUGGCGGUAGGCCUAACACAUGCAAGUCGAACGGCAGCACAGUAAGAGCUUGCCCUUACGGGUGGCGAGUGGCGGACGGGUGAGGAAUACAUCGGAAUCUACUUUUUCGUGGGGGAUAACGUAGGGAAACUUACGCUAAUACCGCAUACGACCUACGGGUGAAAGCAGGGGAUCUUCGGACCUUGCGCGAUUGAAUGAGCCGAUGUCGGAUUAGCUAGUUGGCGGGGUAAAGGCCCACCAAGGCGACGAUCCGUAGCUGGUCUGAGAGGAUGAUCAGCCACACUGGAACUGAGACACGGUCCAGACUGCUACGGGAGGCAGCAGUGGGGAAUAUUGGACAAUGGGCGCAAGCCUGAUCCAGCCAUACCGCGUGGGUGAAGAAGGCCUUCGGGUUGUAAAGCCCUUUUGUUGGGAAAGAAAAGCAGCAGGUUAAUACCCCGCUGUUCUGACGGUACCCAAAGAAUAAGCACCGGCUAACUUCGUG
rnacentral:rRNA from 1 species